ensembl:rRNA 5S_rRNA 5S ribosomal RNA
GUCUACAGCCAUACCACCCUGAACGUGCCUGACCUCAUCUGAUCUCAGAAGCUAAGAAGGGUCGGGCCUGGUUAGUACUUGGAUGGAAGUAUAAUGUUAGCUGUGGGCU